GUGGCGCACGGGUGAGUAACACGUAAGUAAUCUACCCUCGAGUGGGGAAUAACAUCGGGAAACCGAUGCUAAUACCGCAUAAUGCAGCGGCACCGCAAGGUGACAGUUGUUAAAGAUUUAUUGCUUGAGGAGGAGCUUGCGGCAGAUUAGCUUGUUGGUAAGGUAACGGCUUACCAAGGCUACGAUCUGUAUCCGGUCUAAGAGGACGGUCGGACACACUGACACUGAAUAACGGGUCAGACUCCUACGGGAGGCAGCAGUCGGGAAUUUUGGGCAAUGGGGGAAACCCUGACCCAGCAACGCCGCGUGAAGGAUGAAGUAUUUCGGUAUGUAAACUUCGAAAGAAUAGGAAGAAUUAAUGACGGUACUAUUUAUAAGGUCCGGCUAACUACGUGCCAGCAGCCGCGGUAAUACGUAGGGACCAAGCGUUGUUCGGAUUUACUGGGCGUAAAGGGCGCGUAGGCGGCGCGGUAAGUCACUUGUGAAAUCUCUGAGCUUAACUCAGAACGGCCAAGUGAUACUGCAGUGCUAGAGUGUGGAAGGGGCAAUCGGAAUUCUUGGUGUAGCGGUGAAAUGCGUAGAUAUCAAGAGGAACACCUGAGGUGAAGACGGGUUGCUGGGCCCACACUGACGCUGAGGCGCGAACGCCAGGGGAGCAAACCGGAUUAGAUACCCCGGCAGUCCUGGCC
rnacentral:rRNA from 1 species